rnacentral:rRNA from 1 species
GACGAACGCUGGCGGCGUGCCUAAUACAUGCAAGUUGAGCGAUGAAGAUUGGUGCUUGUCCCAAUUUGAAGAGCAGCGAACGGGUGAGUAACGCGUGGGGAAUCUGCCUUUGAGCGGGGGACAACAUUUGGAAACGAAUGCUAAUACCGCAUAACAACUUUAAACAUAAGUUUUAAGUUUGAAAGAUGCAAUUGCAUCACUCAAAGAUGAUCCCGCGUUGUAUUAGCUAGUUGGUGAGGUAAAGGCUCACCAAGGCGAUGAUACAUAGCCGACCUGAGAGGGUGAUCGGCCACAUUGGGACUGAGACACGGCCCAAACUCCUACGGGAGGCAGCAGUAGGGAAUCUUCGGCAAUGGACGAAAGUCUGACCGAGCAACGCCGCGUGAGUGAAGAAGGUUUUCGGAUCGUAAAACUCUGUUGGUAGAGAAGAACGUUGGUGAGAGUGGAAAGCUCAUCAAGUGACGGUAACUACCCAGAAAGGGACGGCUAACUACGUG